CAUGCAAGUCGAGGGGAAACGACAUCGAAAGCUUGCUUUUGAUGGGCGUCGACCGGCGCACGGGUGAGUAACGCGUAUCCAACCUGCCCACCACUUGGGGAUAACCUUGUGAAAGUAAGACUAAUACCCAAUGACGUCUCUAGAAGACAUCUGAAAGAGAUUAAAGAUUUAUCGGUGAUGGAUGGGGAUGCGUCUGAUUAGCUUGUUGGCGGGGUAACGGCCCACCAAGGCGACGAUCAGUAGGGGUUCUGAGAGGAAGGUCCCCCACAUUGGAACUGAGACACGGUCCAAACUCCUACGGGAGGCAGCAGUGAGGAAUAUUGGUCAAUGGACGAGAGUCUGAACCAGCCAAGUAGCGUGCAGGAAGACGGCCCUAUGGGUUGUAAACUGCUUUUAUAAGGGAAUAAAGUGAGAGUCGUGACUCUUUUUGCAUGUACCUUAUGAAUAAGGACCGGCUAAUUCCGUGCCAGCAGCCGCGGUAAUACGGAAGGUCCGGGCGUUAUCCGGAUUUAUUGGGUUUAGAGGGAGCGUAGGCCGGAGAUUAAGCGUGUUGUGAAAUGUAGAUGCUCAACAUCUGAACUGCAGCGCGAACUGGUUUCCUUGAGUACGCACAAAGUGGGCGGAAUUCGUGGUGUAGCGGUGAAAUGCUUAGAUAUCACGAAGAACUCCGAUUGCGAAGGCAGCUCACUGGAGCGCAACUGACGCUGAAGCUCGAAAGUGCGGGUAUCGAACAGGAUUAGAUACCCUGGUAGUCCGCACGGUAAACGAUGGAUGCCCGCUGUUGGUCUGAAUAGGUCAGCGGCCAA
rnacentral:rRNA from 1 species